AUUGAACGCUGGCGGCAGGCCUAACACAUGCAAGUCGAGCGGUUGAGGUAGCUUGCUACCGAUGCAGCGGCGGACGGGUGAGUAAUACAUGGGAAUCUGCCUGGUAGUGGGGGACAACGUUUCGAAAGGAACGCUAAUACCGCAUACGCCCUACGGGGAAAGGGGGGAGUCGCAAGACCUCUCGCUAUCAGACGAGCCGA
rnacentral:rRNA from 1 species